AGGACGAACGCUGGCGGCGUGCCUAACACAUGCAAGUCAAGGCGGUAGCAAUACCGACUGGCGCACGGGUGCGGAACACGUAGGCAAUCUGCCCAUCAGGGGAGAACAACUCGCCGAAAGGUGAGCUAAAUCUCCGUAACAUCUUAUCAUGGCAUCAUGAUUUGAUCAAGCUUUCUGAUGGAUGAGCCUGCGUCUGAUUAGCUAGUUGGUAGUGUAACGGACUACCAAGGCUACGAUCAGUAGCUGGUCUGAGAGGAUGAUCAGCCACAUUGGGACUGACGACACGGCCAGACUCCGACGGGAGCAGCAGUGAGAUAUGCUACAAUGGACGAAGUCUAGAAGCAGCAACGCG
rnacentral:rRNA from 1 species